UUCAUAAACAACGUACCAUAUUUACACACGUGUAUGUUGAAUUAUGCAGACUAUCGUUUUUUUUUAUCGAUGUUGGUUUAGACAUGUUUACAAACUUGCUAAGUUGCUAAGCUAAAUACAAAUACAAAUGCCAGCUAAACUGUUACCAGUAAAAUUUGUUCUCAUGAUCAAACUCAAGAAACUCUAAGUACAGAUGAUUUGUUUAAAGUUAUAUGUAUUUUACUGUUGUAUUUACUUGAAGCUUUCUUAGAUUUUGAAACGAAGUAAACACAUAAUGUGUGUUGCUAAUGUUGGGCCAUGUAAUAUGUAAUACAUUUACGUUUUAAUGAAUAGUCUAACGAUUUAUAGUCGUUGUACUCUAUUGUUAUAAUAUGUCUUUUUGACUGAAUACAUGUUUGUUUUAUUUGUCUAUAUCCUAGAUUCGCAGCUGGACACAUCCUUCUACACUGUAUGCAAACAUGCAACAUCAUUACACACAGUACAAGGAGUCAGACUGGCAUAUGAGGAGCAAAGGAACCCAGGCAGUAUCAUCGUUUCACAAUGUUUCCAUCACCAUCAUCAGUGGAUGCCUUUGCCGUCCGUAGCCUGAGAUUUCAGAUUUGCAGCAAAAAAUUUUUGAUUUUCUCAUUUAUUGGAAUGCUGUGCAGGUAUUUGUACCUUGCAGCCAUCCAUUACAAUGUCACCAAGCCGUAACAAAAGCAGGAGAGGGAAAGUACAAGCCUAUGUUCCCAAAACACACAAGUGACAUACCUUAUGUGGAGGAUGUGAUCAGGCUUGUGUUUGAUGAGGUAUUUGAAGAUAAGCUGAAGGAAGCCCUGAUUCCAAUGGACCUGGCAUCACAGUUUGAGAGACCUUCAAAGGACGUGAUUGCA